UUCCAUCUUUCAAACAUAACCCUCAGAGACCAACCCCCAAUACCCUAACCCUAAAUCAUUUCCCCUCUAACCUCGCCGCCCUCCUUUCCCUUUUCUCUCUUCCAUCUGUCAACCUCUAUCAUCCUAAUCAAUCAAAAACCUUGCACCAAUUUGUGCAAGGUCACAAAUCGACAAAAAAUCAUCCACUUUGCCUUCUGAAUCCGCGAAUCCCGCCGGUUUCUUCCCCAUUUCAUCGUUCAAAUUCAAACGCCUAAAAUUUGGAACCCUAGCAUAAACAUUAAACCUCAAAUGGUUUAAAUCCUCUUAUACUUCGUCAAAUCAGAGCAUGCAUAGAGCUUCCUUCAGAGACUCAUCAUGAAAUUCUAUACCAAGAGGUCAUACAUAGUGACCUCUGGGUUUUAGGAUUUUUUUCAUUGGUUCAAAGCCUUCAACAAUCGAUCCCUACUCUCAGAUGUUUUGAAGCCCAGAAUUUAAUCAAAACAGCACCCCGUUUUCAGAAAGACAAAUCAGAAAGAGUCGAUGGUCUUACUCACAAGAGGAAUACUGAAGGAUCAACAUUGAAACAUGAGGUCCAAUAUGUGGUGAUUGAACAGAAAGAUGAUUGAGAUUAAUUGCAAGCAGUAAUGGGCAAAAACU